UACGUAGGGUGCAAGCGUUAUCCGGAAUUAUUGGCGUAAAGAGCUCGUAGGCGGUUUGUCGCGUCUGCUGUGAAAACUGGAGGCUCAACCUCCAGCCUGCAGUGGGUACGGGCAAACUAGAGUGCGGUAGGGGAGAUUGGAAUUCCUGGUGUAGCGGUGGAAUGCGCAGAUAUCAGGAGGAACACCGAUGGCGAAGGCAGAUCUCUGGGCCGUAACUGACGCUGAGGAGCGAAAGCAUGGGGAGCGAACAGG
rnacentral:rRNA from 1 species